rnacentral:rRNA from 1 species
UACAGAGGGGGCAAGCGUUAUUCGGAAUUAUUGGGCGUAAAGGGCGCGUAGGCGGCCUAGCAAGUCAGGGGUGAAAUCCCUCGGCUCAACCGAGGAAUUGCCUCUGAAACUGCAAGGCUUGAGACCGGGAGAGGGUGGUGGAAUUCCCAGUGUAGCGGUGAAAUGCGUAGAUAUUGGGAGGAACACCGGUGGCGAAGGCGGCCACCUGGACCGGUUCUGACGCUGAGGCGCGAAAGUGUGGGGAGCAAACAGGAUUAGAUACCCUGGUAGUCCACACUGUAAACGAUGAGCACUCGGUGUUGUGGGUGUCGACCCCUACAGUGCCUUAGGAAACCCGUUAAGUGCUCCGCCUGGGGAGUACGGUCGCAAGGCUGAA